GAAGAUGCCAUCGAGCAGCUUGGCAUCAACUUCGGCUUCAGGCAGUUCAAGGUCAAUCAAUACCUCAAGAGCAACAGAGACCAUGGCGAUCAUUCAGGAACCCUGGCCAUGCUCCAGGCUUGGAGGAAGAAGACCCCUCGGACGAGGCAGACACCGAACCUGGUGGAAGCCCUCAAGAAUGCCGGCAUUGAUGAGUCCUUCAAUAACAAUUAAGAUAACUGAAGUUCUGAACUCAAGGUGAUAUCACCUGUUGGAACCCUGAGAUAUCUGCCUCAACGUGAAGAAAAGUACAUUUUGAGGCUUAUGGACAUUAUUUAGGUGAAAUACUGCCAUCAUCGUCAUAUCCCGAACUUUUACUCCACAUUCAUGUUAUGUCUAGGAAAGGAAGUCGAUUCUUGUGGAGACGAUGCAGACUGUGAAUUUACAACACGACGGCGAUUAAGAGCGAAUAAUGAUGAAUGAAGGCAGAUAAACGUUUAUUUUUAUUCAGUUAUUAUUUUUAGAAAGCCCCUUGUUACUGUUUCUGCUUUUCGAAGCUGGAGGACAAAUGAGCAUUGAGACAUUGAACAAGACUAAAACAUUGGAGAGUGCAGAAUGCGGAAUGAGAAUGCAUUCUCCUAUAGAGUUUUAUUUUUGAAAACCAAGAACAAUAAUCUUCGCAGUCUAUGCACUGCUUUUACAUCACCUAGAUAUUUUUUUUGGCAAUGAUGGCCUGUACUUGGUAUAACAUGAAAAUGCAUUAUUCAGUGUGCUAGAUAUGAUAAUAGCACAUUAACAUUACGAUUUCAUUUGAUCCUCAAACCUGUAGAUGUGAGAAGGCCUGAUUAAAUAGGAUUUUUGAUAACAUUAUCUAACCAAAUCUGUGUAAAUCUGAAAGUACAACAGAUUAUUCAUGCUGCACGUUUAUAUUCGAAAAUUGAAAUCCCAUAGAGUCGAAUUCCCCUACAAUCAUAAUUUCAAAAAAGUGUACAUUUAUAUAUUCGCUCUGUAUGUUUUGUUACCCAGCCAUCUAGGAAUUUUGCAAUUUAUGACAGAAAUUAGCGUUUGUAUACUAUUUUAAAUUAGGCCUAUAUCUUUGCAGUAAAGUUAGUUUAGUAGACACUGAAACGAUAUUUGUUUCUUGUUUGUAGGUAGAUUUGAUUGCAUCAACCAUGGUAUGUUUUGUUUUGCUUCCGGAAAAACCUAGACUUCAGACUUAGCCUACUUUGUUACAUUGCUCGAGAACAUUUCGUAAAUACGAGUUCUAACCACCGUGUGACAAUUUCGUAAUGAAUUGAUGUAAAUAUUAUUUACGCAUACAUGUAUUCAGUUGGGCAGUAAAUUCUUUUCUCAUAAAAAUAUAUUUUUGUCAUUGAACUACAUUAUAUUACAGGAUGGAAGUGAGAGAUAUGUUGUAGUAAAAUUAAUUAGACACUUAAACUGAAUUUUGUUCCUUAGUUGUAGUUAGAUUUGAUUGCAUCAACCAUGUUUUGCUUCCGGAAAACCUAGACUUCAGAUUUAGCCAAGCAUUGUUAUAUUGCUCGAGAAUAUUUCGUAAAUACGAGUUCUAACCACCGUGUGACAAUUUCGUAAUGAAUUGAUGUAAAUAUAAUUUACGCAUACAUGUAUUCAGUUGGGCAGUAAAUUCUUUUCUCAUAAAAA